CCUGAGCCUGGGAAGAGAACAGCCAGGCCUGGAGCACGGCCUCUUGGUCCCCUCCCCAUCCCCGGCCCAUGUUCUGCCUCCCCGAGGCCGUCCUCUGCCGCGCUCUCUCCAAGGCCCCCGGAGUGCGAAGCAUCACAGAUCCUCGGAAUGUUAGGAGGCACAGAAUGUUGGGGCAGGGGGGGACCCGGGCCUGGAGCUCGGGAGGGACACGGGGACCCGAGCAGAUCAGCCAAGCCGGGAGAGGGGGGGAAGUGGGCCCAGGCCGGGCCCUGGAGGAGAAACGGAGCCUGAGCACCAGGGGUCAGCCAGCGGGGGGAGCCCACAAAGGGCGGCCUGUCUAGGAGAAGGAGCGGCGAGAAUUUGGCCCAAAUGAAGGAAGAGGCUGGAAAUAGACGGUGGAGGAUCUCAAAGAGGAGCACAAAGGGGAGGCCGUGCCAAGGGUCCCGGGGGAGAGACCAGCCCCAGACGGUGGUCAGAUCUGCGGAAGGCAAGUACUUACGCUGCUCUUCCAGUUGUUCUCCUUAAAGCCCAGAACUGACCUAGUGGCAGCCCUACUCAGCCAACUCCCAUGGCUUGGGAUCGCCUGCAGGAUCAAGUAGAAGCUCCGCCGGCCCCCACCCAGCCUCAGUGGAGGCCCCCUCCUGCCAAUACUCUGCCCCACGGCCAGUGCCCUUCUCAUAUAACAGCUAUCUCCCAUCGCUCUCUCUGCCGUUGUGCAGGCGGCCCAAUGCCCAGAAUCCUCUCUUCCUUUAAGACCAUCCUCUGCAAGAGCCCCUCAGCUGUUCCUCCCUCCCAGGCUACUUUGUGUCUAAUUAUUUUGUAAAUAGAUGUGUAGAUUAGGCCCUAUAUAUCUUUGUGGGCUUAUCUCUUCCCCCCAGAACGAGUACAGCCACUUUGUAUAUAAAGAUGUACUUCCCAACUUUAGGUCGUAGUUCUGUAUUUUAAGCCAUCAAAGCUUAAACCUGCAAUAAGGCUUCGGGGAGUCUCCUCCACAUGGCGAGUAGAGAUUGUUCCUUUCUUAGCAUCAACUUGAAAGAAAAUGGAGGGCCCAGGGACGAUCUGUGUCUGGCUCUGAGCGUUAGGAUUUUUUUAAUCAGUUACUUGAAUAAAGGCAUAGAUGGCACCCUAAUCAUAUGGGUGCUCAGGACCCAAGAAGACCCUGAGAGGCCAGAAUACUGGGCGGGAUAAAUGGAAAUUUAAUAAACAUUAAGUGUGACGCUCGG